UGCAGGCCUACAGGGGGGCACGGAUCUGUGCCCGCAAAAGUCACAGGUCUGGGGAUCUACGUGCCUAGGUACCCCUUCCUGUACAAUGAUGACUGUACUGUUCUGUUUCUGGUUUUUUUUCCCUCUAAGUCGCUAUUCAGUUUUCCGUUUCAAUGUCAGCAGUCCGCACUUGGGAGUAGUACCUGCCAACAUUCUGAUGCAGUGACGAAUUUGGGCCGUGUUUAGUUGGGGAAUUUGGGAGGUGCCAAAUUACUGUUACAGCACUGUAGCACACUGUAGCGUUUCGUUUGUAUUUGUGAAUUAUUG
rnacentral:lncRNA from 1 species